UACGUAGGGUGCAAGCGUUGUCCGGAAUUAUUGGGCGUAAAGAGCUCGUAGGCGGUUUGUUGCGUCGGCUGUGAAAUCCCGAGGCUCAACCUCGGGUCUGCAGUCGAUACGAGCAAACUAGAGUGUUGCAGGGGAGACUGGAAUUCCCGGUGUAGUGGUGAAAUGCGUAGAUAUCGGGAGGAACACCAGUGGCGAAGGCGACUUCCUGGCCUGUUCUUGACGCUGAGGCGCGAAAGCUAGGGGAGCAAACGGG
rnacentral:rRNA from 1 species